GAAUGAAAAUUGUAUUUAUUAUUCAUGUAAAGAAAUCCACAGAUAUUUCCAAGACAGUUUGCUAUCCAUCCUGAUGAGUGCAACAGCUCAGGCCUCAUUAGGUGAUUGAGGCUAAUUAACUGUAAACAUGAGUCAUAUUACUUUUUUCUUCCAUGCAGUUUAAUUCUAAACAUCCCUGUCUGACCCAGACAGCCCCGUUACUCAUAUAUUUGACACUAAAGGCAUUAUAAGCAAGAAGAUGUAAACAGGAUUGAACGUCCCUGUGCCGUUGGAGAGAUCCUGAUUUUUUUGGAAGCGACGGCGCGCACGUGACGGAGCGGAGCUGCCGCGCUCACGAGCCGUUCGUUAAACCCAAGGACGACGGAGAACCAAACCGAGCCGGCUGAGACUCAUCACGGGGAAGAAACAGAGGUUUUCUCGUCAGAAAUAUUCAAGAGGAGACACGGAGACGAUGGACGGUUAUGGGCUUUCGGAUGACGAGCUUUUCUCCUCCUGUCUGCUCAACUUCACCUGCGAGGAUUCAUCUGAGCAGACAGCAAUGUGUGACUGACCAACCCCACAGGAGAACAGCACGGACCCACUGCACUGGGACGAAGGAAGAGAGCACUCACGGCACCGGAGCACCCACCUGGACCUUUCUCUUAAGUCACAUUCACUUAUCGUUGUGGUUGUUCCCUGGUGUGCGUCCUGUUCUUGUGUCUCGUCAAGCCCCGUUCUCCGUUUGGAUUUCGUCAGUUCUUCGUGUCGUUUGGAUUUCGUCAGUUCCUCGUGUCGUCUGGAUGUUCAACGGUUCCUGGGGUUCUCUUCACGCUCUUCACCGCACCACCACCGGAUCGCCAUCUCGUCCCUGCUUCACCACCACCUGAGUGUGAGUGCUCCUCCCCCAACAUGGAUGAAAUCCUCCACUGGCUCACUGAGGUUAGCUUCCGCCACCAACAGAUCGUUGAGCACCUCGCCACCCAUCAAGGGGAGACAGAGCAGGAGCUUGCAUCCCUUUUUGCCGCCACCACUAAGCUGCUACCCAAGCUGACCCCCCCAUGAUGAUGUGGAAGCAUACUUGGAGAUGUUUGAAACCACGGCAACCUCGGAGGGAUGGCAUACAGACGACUGGGCAGGAGUGCUGGCUUCCUUGCUGACGGGUGAAGCCCAGCGUGCAUACUUCUCUCUAACCGCCGCCUCCGCUGAUCAGUAUACGGUGGUCAAGAUGGAAAUUCUAGCUCGCCUGGGGUUAUCUGUGCUGCUCAUUACUUCCACGAGUGGGAAUAUAAGCCCCGUCUGCCGGCCCGUGCCCAGACCACAGAACUCACACGACUCGCGCAGUACUGGCUGCUGGAGGGGGCUCCAUCAGCUAGUCAGGUCGCAGAACAUGUCGUGAUAGACUGACUUCUCCAAGCCCUUCCCUGAUCUCACCGGGAGGCAGUUGGGAUGAGGAACCCAACCACCAUCUCGGAGCUCGUGGAGACUAUCGAGCUGGUGGAUGUGACCCAACAUCGGGAUGCUGGGGAGCGUGCGCCACCGUUUCCCCGGAGGGUGGUCCAGGAGCGACGUGCGCUGGAGGGUACCCAGUGACCAGUAAGCAGGCCGGUGGCUCACUCUCUGCAGGAUAAGC
ensembl:lncRNA